GAGAGCGCGAGCUAGCGCGUAGUACACACAAGAAAUGGCGCAAGCUGAAAGAUUCCCGAACUUCGCUAACUUCGCGACGCGCGGCAUGUUCGCUCGGAUAUUACUGCUCGCGAUCUUUCGCGCGGCGCAGGCAAACAAGCAAGCUUUUAUCCAGACAGACACCAUCCUAGAGGUGUUUCACUUUGGUGAUGAAGGCCUCCUUCAGGCAGAGCCAGACAUAAACUCAUAUCACCACAAAAGGUAAGACACUCUUUUAAACACACAAACACACUUGUAAUGCAGGUUAAAAGAUUGUUCUAAAGAAGCAGUCUUUUUUGUCGUCGUUGUUCUUGUUGCGUUGCGUCUGGUCAUGGAUUUAAGUUUCUGUAUCAUGUUUAGAUGAGAUGAUGUGUUUCAGGCAGUCUUUGGUUGGAGUCUGUUAUUAUGAAGGGUGUCCUUGCAAGAAAUGACGUUGACUAAAUGUCUUUGCUGUCGAAGAUUCAAGGUCAACCCUGGUUAUCAGUCAUCACUGUGUAUGUUUAUACGUCCUGGCACUUAAUGUACACACUUAUUGUAUGUUGUACAUCCUGGCAUGUAAUAUAGUACUUGGCAUCAUGUAGCAUCUUAUCCUAGCCAGUUGUGUACGGGGGAAUGGGUUAACCUAGAGAUUGUUAGUGCUUGGCACUUGAUUCUUUGAACAUCCUUACUGUACCAACAGAUAUAUUUUGUUGUUUCUCUUUCUUCUGACAAAUUGACUUAUUGUAAGUCGCUUUGGAUAAAAGCGUCUGCUAAACGCCCUGAAUGUUAAUCCCUAAAUCCUUUCUUAUAAUGUGCUUUUUACUAGGAAAAUGCCAGCAAUUUACCUGCACAUUUGUGGCAUUCAUGCGUCGCGCCGCGAGCCGGUUAUUUUUACUCCGUCUCUAAAAGGGCAGUGUUGUGGAUUCGUACUCGAACACACGUGCGACAUACCAGCCACCGGGGGCCACACCUUGUGCUGCCGACCAGAGCAGCUGUCACUGAGUCGUUGCGUUUGAUUGGCUGCUGUGGGGUGGCGGUAGUGAUCUCUACACCAUCUGUCACGCCGUGUGCGACAAGUCAACCGGCUGACCCGAAGACAUUUCCAAAGUCAAGUGUGAAGAAGUCCUGGUGGGGGAUCUAGGAAGUGUGUGUGUGUGUGUGUGUCUGGUUGCAAGUACUCAGAAGCGGCCAUUUGCAUUUGGAAUAAAAGGUGUGUGUGUGUGUGUGGGUGUGUG
ensembl:lncRNA